rnacentral:tRNA from 1 species
GGAGGUGUGGCGGAAUGGGUAACGCACUGGUCCGCUAAACCAGGGAGCCAAGUGUCUCUUGUAGGUUCGAAUCCUACCGCCUCCGCCA